AAAAAAAAAAAAGGUGUUCACUCCCAGAAAUUAAAUGGUUACAAGCUAAUUUAACCUGUAGAUCAACAGACAGUUUCCUUUUCUGAGAGCUCCACAGACACAUGUAAAUGGAGAUGAACACUUGUCCACAGCAAUGAAAAGCGGCCUUCAUCUCAUCAUGCUGAAGAUAAUCUUUUUGGUCUUUUUGUUUCUGUUUCAGCUGUCAGUUUAUGAUGGAGCUUCUAGAACUUACAAGAUCUUCCAAACACCUCCUUCCAUUAUUAAGAAACCUGGAGAAUCUGUUGUCAAUGAGAUCUACUGUUCUCACAAUGUGUCAAUUUUUGAGCGCAUCCUUUGGUACAAACAAAAUAAACGUGGAGCUCUGAAGUACCUGGGAUAUCUGAACAGGAACUUCCCGUACCCAGAGGACGAUGUGAAAGAAAAGAUCAGCUUUGGUGGAGACGGCAGUAAAUAUUCAAGCCUGAAUGUUUCCACUGUUUCAGAAAAUGACAGCGCCGUUUAUUUUUGUGCUGCCAGUCGACACAGUACAACAGAAUCCCAUUAAGUCAAUACAAAAACUCUGCAGAAAGAUAAAGAUCUGAACACCUGCAGCCAGCCUCCAUGUAAAAAAUACAUUGUUACUGACUCACCAGUUGGCUCACCAUUGACCAAUCAAAACGCUGUAAAUGCACAAUGUUCAGAAUUUAUUGAAUAAUCUGAGUGCCAUUCAAUUGAAAAAUUGUUAAAAGCCAGACUUUUAUUUUCUAUUUUUGCUUAAACUUGUAUAUUUCAAUGUGUCUUCUACUAUUCUGAGCAAAAUGCUAUUUUUUAUUUUGAAUUUUUACAUAACUUCAUACUUAACAUCUGCCAUUCCUUAGUAUGUUUCCCGUUAUCUAACCUUUAUUUAAUGAUCAUACCAGUGAUGACCUGUAGGGGGAGAAACAUUGUCACUUUUUUGCCAUCUGUGUUUCAACUUGCAAUGACUCCACCUUUAUUUACUCUGUGUCUUUGACAC